rnacentral:rRNA from 1 species
CCUACGGGCGACAGCAGUGAGGAAUAUUGGUCAAUGGACGAGAGUCUGAACCAGCCAAGUAGCGUGAAGGAUGACUGCCCUAUGGGUUGUAAACUUCUUUUAUAUGGGAAUAAAAUGUUCCACGUGUGGGAUUUUGUAUGUACCAUAUGAAUAAGGAUCGGCUAACUCCGUGCCAGCAGCCGCGGUAAUACGGAGGAUCCGAGCGUUAUCCGGUUUUAUUGGGUUUAAAGGGAGCGUAGGUGGAUUGUUAAGUCAGUUGUGAAAGUUUGCGGCUCAACCGUAAAAUUGCAGUUGAAACUGGCAGUCUUGAGUACAGUAGAGGUGGGCGGAAUUCGUGGUGUAGCGGUGAAAUGCUUAGAUAUCACGAAGAACUCCGAUUGCGAAGGCAGUUCACUGGACUGCAACUGACACUGAGGCUCGAAAGUGUGGGUAUCAAACAGGAUUAGAUACCCCUGUAGUC